rnacentral:rRNA from 1 species
AUUGAACGCUGGCGGCAGGCCUAACACAUGCAGGUCGAACGGUAGCACAGGGAGCUUGCUCUUGGGUGACGAGUGGCGGACGGGUGAGUAAUGUCUGGGAAACUGCCCGAUGGAGGGGGAUAACUACUGGAAACGGUAGCUAAUACCGCAUAACGUCUUCGGACCAAAGUGGGGGACCUUCGGGCCUCACACCAUCGGAUGUGCCCAGAUGGGAUUAGCUAGUAGGUGGGGUAAUGGCUCACCUAGGCGACGAUCCCUAGCUGGUCUGAGAGGAUGACCAGCCACACUGGAACUGAGACACGGUCCAGACUCCUACGGGAGGCAGCAGUGGGGAAUAUUGCACAAUGGGCGCAAGCCUGAUGCAGCCAUGCCGCGUGUAUGAAGAAGGCCUUCGGGUUGUAAAGUACUUUCAGCGGGGAGGAAGGCGUUAAGGUUAAUAACCUUGGCGAUUGACGUUACCCGCAGAAGAAGCACCGGCUAACUCCGUGCCAGCCGCCGCGGUAA